rnacentral:ncRNA from 1 species
UUCUGACAACCGUGCAAUGCGGUUGACAUUUGCCAAGACAGGAGAGUGUACAUG